AUUGAACGCUGGCGGCAGGCCUAACACAUGCAAGUCGAGCGGAUGAAGGGAGCUUGCUCCUGGAUUCAGCGGCGGACGGGUGAGUAAUGCCUAGGAAUCUGCCUGGUAGUGGGGGAUAACGUCCGGAAACGGGCGCUAAUACCGCAUACGUCCUGAGGGAGAAAGUGGGGGAUCUUCGGACCUCACGCUAUCAGAUGAGCCGAGGUCGGAUUAGCUAGUUGGUGGGGUAAAGGCCUACCAAGGCGACGAUCCGUAACUGGUCUGAGAGGAUGAUCAGUCACACUGGAACUGAGACACGGUCCAGACUCCUACGGGAGGCAGCAGUGGGGAAUAUUGGACAAUGGGCGAAAGCCUGAUCCAGCCAUGCCGCGUGUGUGAAGAAGGUCUUCGGAUUGUAAAGCACUUUAAGUUGGGAGGAAGGGCAGUACGUUAAUACCUUGCUGUUUUGACGUUACCAACAGAAUAAGCACCGGCUAACUUCGUG
rnacentral:rRNA from 1 species